rnacentral:rRNA from 1 species
UACGUAGGGUGCAAGCGUUGUCCGGAAUUAUUGGGCGUAAAGAGCUCGUAGGCGGUUUGUCGCGUCUGCUGUGAAAACUGGAGGCUCAACCUCCAGCCUGCAGUGGGUACGGGCAAACUAGAGUGCGGUAGGGGAGAUUGGAAUUCCUGGUGUAGCGGUGGAAUGCGCAGAUAUCAGGAGGAACACCGAUGGCGAAAGGCAGAUCUCUAGGGCCGUGAACUGGACGCUGAGGAGCGAAAGCAUGGGGAGCGAACAGG